rnacentral:lncRNA from 1 species
CUGAUAUUAAGGCCAGCUUGAAAUUGAGUUAACUCUAGAUCUGACCCAGCGUAAUCCUGCAAGCCCUCAAAUCUAUUACAGAGUUUGCAGACUGAAAGAGAGUCUAGCUAAGGCUUGCUCCUCAUACCCAGGAUUUGAUCUAAUCCAACAAGCCUUUGUAUGACCUUUGACCUCAGUGUGUUCAGUACUUUGUCAGAUCACUUUUACUCAUCAUCAUUGUUCCAAUACUGCAAGGAAUCUGUAUAUUUGUUUAUUUC